rnacentral:lncRNA from 1 species
UCCUAUCUCCUCCCUUCUUCUUAUCUCUUUCCUUUCUUCUUCUCUCUCCUCUCUCUUCUCUCCUUUUUCCCCCACAUGACCGACAUCUUCUCUCUCUUUUUCUCUCUGGUUUGUGCGGACCAAAACCGAGGAAGGGCAGAAGCAGCGGCCACCAUCGUUUGAAGAUUGAAGUGGCUCGCCGUCGCCGCCCGUCCCGCCGCCGUCCCGUCACCCGCUCGCCGCCCUCACAUCCCACCGCUUGUCCCUCGCAUCCUUGCCGUCUAGCAGCUCCGUCCAGCAGCUGGUUGGUCUCUGUCCAGCUUCGGGAGUAGCUGAAGAAGCGGCCGAACCGCCGACCAGCUCCAUCUCCGGCCACCGUCCGGCCUCACCGAAGCUCCGCCCGCUCUCCCGACCUCUUGCCGCCCCCAACCCUCUCUCUUUCUCUCUGUUUUGCAGCUAAACCAGCAGACCCACAAAGUGGGUUUCCAGCACUUCAGGCCCGCUUUUGGACCGUUUCCCGGCCCCGAACCCGAGCCGUGCUUUGGGGAACAAUCGUUCCUCGCGUCGCCGCCGUCGGAUUAAUCCGAUUUGCGCGCGAUUUGGUGAGUAAUCUCACUAAUCCUGGAUUAGUUGGCUAAUUAUGCUUAAGGUUGGGUUUAGAUUUAAUUAAUUAUGUUAAGGUUGUUAGAUUAUAAUAAAUUAGUCAUUAUUAGUCAAUUGUGAUGAGAUUUAGAUAAAUUGAUUGUGCAAUUAGCAAGUAGACGUGGUCUACUAAUUAUUGGAAGUGCCUCGGGAUUUUUCCCGACCCUUAGUAGGCUCCAAUUAGGCUUUUCGGGCCUAAGUGGAUUUUUUUGUAUUUAAAUAUUAAUUUUCGGAAUUAAAUAAAAUAAUUAUUUAUUUUCCAAAAAUUCAACUGAGAUGGCCCGGGACCGGAAUAUUGUGCUGAUGACGGUGGUGAAGUCCGUUUAUUUAAUCGGGCCUUAUUUUGAGCUAAAUUGAAUUUUUAAUAUUAAUUAUUUAAUUUUCGAAAUUAAUUAUUUAAUUAAUUAUUUUUCAGAAAUUAAGAUUUUGAUGGCCAACGACCGAAAUCUCGUGCUGAUCAUCGUGGCGCAGUCCGUUUAUUUAUUUGAGCUCCACGUUGUAUGGAAUUGAAUAAAUUGUGAUAUUUUAGGGAUUUACCCUAAAUUGAUUGGAAUUGAUUGAGAUUGAAUUGUUGAUUGGUAAAUGGCCAAAUAUGUUUAUUCAGCAUUUAUAGUGCUUUGUUGAGUUGUAAAGUGAGUAGAAUGGCGAGAGUGAAUCAGAAGUACUCUGGGAUUGAACCAAUCAGACACGGUGUAUAGACCUACGUGGUUCGGUGAUUGGGACAUCACUGGCGAAAACGGCGCCUUAAAGAAUGCACGUAUCGGUCUAGUACAUACAUUAUUGUGGACCUACGUGGUUCGGUGAUUGGGAUAUCACUGGCGAAAACGGCGCCUUAAAGAACGUACACAAUUGUCUAUUGAUCAAAUCAUUGUAGGCAUGUGUGGUUCGGUGAUUUGGGAUAUCACUGGCGAAAACGGCACCUUAAAGAACGCACACAAGAAAAUGGAAUCGGAAAUAUCGACAGAUUCUUGCGGAGUCCAAAUAAAUAAAAAAAGAUCCAAUCUUACAAUUUUUUCUCUAUCGAGGAAUCAAUGACCUAGAAUGGUUCGUCUGACAUGUAAUCGACUAGAUCGAUUGAUCAUUGCUUUGAUUUGAUGUUGUGAAUCGAUUGACUGAAUGUAAAUGAUCGUGAGUGGUCUUGUUGGCAUAUAAUCGACUAGGUCGAUUUGAUCGAUGCUUCCAUCGAUGAUAUGACUGUUUGGGUGCCUAUGUUAAAUUGUACUGACUUACAGGUGAGAUCUGAGGCCAAGGUAAGUCCUCUGCUCUGUGCGUGUUUAGGCAGCCUAUAGUAUAAUGGUUUAUCUAAUCGGGCUUAGUGGGGUAGAACUCGCUGAGACGUAGUCUCAUCCCAGUUUGGGGAAAACCAUUUCAGGACCCCGGUGAGAAGCUGAAGAGGAGGAGUCUAAGAAGGAGAACUCGGAGGUGAAACUUAAGGAGAAAGAUUUUUGGGAGAAGAUGAUAAUCCCGAGAAGGGCCUUGAGUACGGCCCAGUUCGUCUAAGUUUCUGUCUUCUUUUGAGAUCUCUAUUUCGAUGUGAAUAGUUUUGAAGUGAUUUGUGUUUUGUAUAAAAGUUUGGUUAUAAAUUUCAAUAUGAAAAAUAUGGCCCUGCUUUUCUAUCCCAUCGUUUUAUUGUCUGGGGAUUUUUACUACUUCCGCAUGUGCUUAAAAAUUGAAAGGGUCGGCGAUACAUUGUCCUGGGAUAUCGCAUUA